rnacentral:rRNA from 1 species
CCUACGGGAGGCAGCAGUGGGGAAUAUUGCACAAUGGGGGAAACCCUGAUGCAGCCACGCCGCGUGAGUGAAGAAGUAUUUAGGUAUGUAAAGCUCUAUCAGCAGGGAAGCAAUACGACGGUACCUGACUAAGAAGCCGCGGCUAACUACGUGCCAGCAGCCGCGGCAAUACGUAGGGGGCAAGCGUUAUCCGGCUUUACAGGGUGUAAAGGGAUCGUAGACGGCGCGGCAAGUGUAAAGUGAAAGGCAGGGGCUUAACCACGGAACUGCUUUGGAAACUGCCAUGCUAGAGUGCGGGCGAGGUAAGCGGAAUUCCUCGUGUAGCGGUGAAAUGCGUAGAUAUUAGGAGGAACACCAGUGGCGAAGGCGGCUUACUGGACAGUAACUGACGUUGAGGCUCGAAAGCGCGGGGAGCAAACAGGAUUAGAUACCCCUGUAGUC